GCGAUACCCGAAUGGGGAAACCCAGUGUGACUCGUCACACUAUCAUUAACUGAAUCCAUAGGUUAAUGAGGCGAACCGGGGGAACUGAAACAUCUAAGUACCCCGAGGAAAAGAAAUCAACCGAGAUUCCCCCAGUAGCGGCGAGCGAACGGGGAGGAGCCCAGAGCCUGAAUCAGCAUGUGUGUUAGUGGAAGCGUCUGGAAAGGCGCGCGAUACAGGGUGACAGCCCCGUACACAAAAGCGCAUGUGCUGUGAGCUCGAUGAGUAGGGCGGGACACGUGGUAUCCUGUCUGAAUAUGGGGGGACCAUCCUCCAAGGCUAAAUACUCCUGACUGACCGAUAGUGAACCAGUACCGUGAGGGAAAGGCGAAAAGAACCCCGGCGAGGGGAGUGAAAAAGAACCUGAAACCGUGUACGUACAAGCAGUGGGAGCACAGGUUUACCUGUGUGACUGCGUACCUUUUGUAUAAUGGGUCAGCGACUUAUAUUCUGUAGCAAGGUUAACCGAAUAGGGGAGCCGGAGGGAAACCGAGUCUUAAUUGGGCGUUAAGUUGCAGGGUAUAGACCCGAAACCCGGUGAUCUAGCCAUGGGCAGGUUGAAGGUUGGGUAACACUAACUGGAGGACCGAACCGACUAAUGUUGAAAAAUUAGCGGAUGACCUGUGGCUGGGGGUGAAAGGCCAAUCAAACCGGGAGAUAGCUGGUUCUCCCCGAAAGCUAUUUAGGUAGCGCCUCGUGAAUUCAUCUCCGGGGGUAGAGCACUGUUUCGGCUAGGGGGCCAUCCCGGCUUACCAACCCGAUGCAAACUGCGAAUACCGGAGAAUGUUAUCACGGGAGACACACGGCGGGUGCUAACGUCCGUCGUGAAGAGGGAAACAACCCAGACCGCCAGCUAAGGUCCCAAAGUCAUGGUUAAGUGGGAAACGAUGUGGGAAGGCCCAGACAGCCAGGAUGUUGGCUUAGAAGCAGCCAUCAUUUAAAGAAAGCGUAAUAGCUCACUGGUCGAGUCGGCCUGCGCGGAAGAUGUAACGGGGCUAAACCAUGCACCGAAGCUGCGGCAGCGAACGUAUCACUUAAAGCGAUUCAGCGGGUUACGAUUGACGGAGCGAAGCGACGUCAAAGCGUAUACAAAGUCGAGUCGGUUUAAGGAUACGUUCGUUGGGUAGGGGAGCGUUCUGUAAGCCUGUGAAGGUGUGUCGUGAGGCAUGCUGGAGGUAUCAGAAGUGCGAAUGCUGACAUAAGUAACGAUAAAGCGGGUGAAAAGCCCGCUCGCCGGAAGACCAAGGGUUCCUGUCCAACGUUAAUCGGGGCAGGGUGAGUCGACCCCUAAGGCGAGGCCGAAAGGCGUAGUCGAUGGGAAACGGGUUAAUAUUCCCGUACUUGGUGUUACUGCGAAGGGGGGACGGAGAAGGCUAUGUUGGCCGGGCGACGGUUGUCCCGGUUUAAGCGUGUAGGUGUGUGUUCCAGGUAAAUCCGGUUCACUUUAACACUGAGGCGUGACGACGAGGCACUACGGUGCUGAAGCAACAAAUGCCCUGCUUCCAGGAAAAGCCUCUAAGCAUCAGGUAACAUCAAAUCGUACCCCAAACCGACACAGGUGGUCAGGUAGAGAAUACCAAGGCGCUUGAGAGAACUCGGGUGAAGGAACUAGGCAAAAUGGUGCCGUAACU
rnacentral:rRNA from 1 species